rnacentral:rRNA from 1 species
AUGUUCCGGUUCCUGGUAGCAUACUCCUACGGGAGGCAGCAGUUAAGAAUCUUGCUCAAUGGGCGAAAGCCUGAAGCAGCGACGCCGCGUGAACGAGCAAGGUCUUCGGAUUGUAAAGUAUGGAACGCAGACACGGUCC